rnacentral:rRNA from 1 species
UACGUCGGUGGCAAGCGUUAUCCGGAUUUAUUGGGCGUAAAGGGAACGCAGGCGGUCUUUUAAGUCUGAUGUGAAAGCCUUCGGCUUAACCGGAGUAGUGCAUUGGAAACUGGGAGACUUGAGUGCAGAAGAGGAGAGUGGAACUCCAUGUGUAGCGGUGAAAUGCGUAGAUAUAUGGAAGAACACCAGUGGCGAAAGCGGCUCUCUGGUCUGUAACUGACGCUGAGGUUCGAAAGCGUGGGUAGCAAACAGG